rnacentral:rRNA from 1 species
AUUGAACGCUAGCGGGAUGCCUUACACAUGCAAGUCGAACGGAGUGGCGAACGGGUGAGUAAUGUAUCGGAACGUGCCCAGUAGCGGGGGAUAACUACGCGAAAGCGUAGCUAAUACCGCAUACUAUUGGAGCGGCCGCUGUCGGAUUGGCUAGUUGGUGGGGUAACGGCUCAACAAGGCGACGAUCCGUAGCUGGUUUGAGGGGACGACCGGCCACACUGGGACUGAGACACGGCCCAGACUCCUACGGGAGGCAGCAUUGGGGAAUUUUGGACAAGGGGGGAAACCCUGAUCCAGCCAUCCCGCGUGUGCGAUGAAGGCCUUCGGGUUGUAAAGCACUUUUGGCAGGAAAGCGGUACCUGCAGAAUAAGCACCGGCUAACUACGUGCCAGCAGCCGCGGUAAUAC